rnacentral:rRNA from 1 species
CAGCCGCCGCGGUAACACGGAGGGUGCAAGCGUUAAUCGGAAUUACUGGGCGUAAAGCGCACGCAGGCGGUCUGUCAAGUCAGAUGUGAAAUCCCCGGGCUUAACCUGGGAACUGCAUUUGAAACUGGCAGGCUAGAGUCUUGUAGAGGGGGGUAGAAUUCCAGGUGUAGCGGUGAAAUGCGUAGAGAUCUGGAGGAAUACCGGUGGCGAAGGCGGCCCCCUGGACAAAGACUGACGCUCAGGUGCGAAAGCGUGGGGAGCAAACAGGAUUAGAGACCCCAGUAGUCCCUGUCUCUUAUAC